AAUGCAUCGGAACGUACCGAGUAAUGGGGGAUAACUAAUCGAAAGAUUACCUAAUACCGCAUACGAUCUAAGGAUGAAAGCAGGGGAUCUAUAAGACCUUGCGUUAUUCGAGCGGCCGAUGUCUGAUUAGCUAGUUGGUGGGGUAAAAGCCUACCAAGGCGACGAUCAGUAGCGGGUCUGAGAGGAUGAUCCGCCACAUUGGGACUGAGACACGGCCCAAACUCCUACGGGAGGCAGCAGUGGGGAAUUUUGGACAAUGGGGGCAACCCUGAUCCAGCCAUGCCGCGUGUCUGAAGAAGGCCUUCGGGUUGCAAAGGACUUUUGUCACGGAAGAAAACGUUAAUGAUAAUACCAUUAGCUGAUGACGGCACCUGAAGAAUAAGCACCGCCUAACUACGUGC
rnacentral:rRNA from 1 species